UACGAAGGGGGCUAGCGUUGCUCGGAAUCACUGGGCGUAAAGCGCACGUAGGCGGCUUUCUAAGUCAGGGGUGAAAUCCUGGAGCUCAACUCCAGAACUGCCUUUGAUACUGGAGAGCUCGAGUCCGGAAGAGGUGAGUGGAACUGCGAGUGUAGAGGUGAAAUUCGUAGAUAUUCGCAAGAACACCAGUGGCGAAGGCGG
rnacentral:rRNA from 1 species